ACGGAAGGCAGCAGUGGGGAAUAUUGCACAAUGGGGGAAACCCUGAUGCAGCAACGCCACGUGUGGGAAGAAGCAUUUCGGGGUGUAAACCACUGUCGUGAGGGAAUAAUGCUUGGCCUCGGCCAAGUUGAAUGUACCUCGAAAGGAAGCACCGGCAAACUUCGUGCCAGCAGCCGCGGUAAUACGAGGGGUGCAAGCGUUGUUCGGAAUCACUGGGCGUAAAGGGAGCGCAGGCGGCGAUGCAAGCAGUCUGUUCAAUACCGGGGCCCAACCCCGGACCUGCAGACUGGACUGUUUCUCUUGGAUAGUUCAGGGGCAAGCGGAAUUCCUGGUGUAGCGGUGGAAUGCGUAGAGAUCAGGAAGAACCCCGAUGGCGAAGGCAGCUUGCUGGUGACUUAUCGACGCUCAUGCUCGAAAGUGCGGGUAGCAAACAGGAUUAGAUCCCCUGGUA
rnacentral:rRNA from 1 species